AUCUGCAGUGAAAUGCUUAGCUUCACCCACUGAAGCUAAGCAGGUGUGAGCCUGGUCAGUACCUGGAUGGGAGACCUCCUGGGAAAAACUAAGGUUGCUGCUGGAA
rnacentral:rRNA from 1 species